CGUGCUACAGUGUCCAUAUAUACAUCUCUUAUAUAUGGACACUGUCAUUAAUGUUAAAAUGGCAGAAAAUAUAGAUAAAGCUGAUAAAUUCUAUACUGAAAUGGAUCAAAGACCGCUAGACGAUGACAUGGCUGACCGCAGAAGAGCGUUGCUAAAAAGGGCGAUAAAGCCGAAAAAACUUGUCCCAGGUAAUACAACUCAACACACUACCACCACUGUAGGCUGCUCCAGACAUGGUGAAUCCAAUGAGACGGAUACAGAUAGUGAGUUGUUGACAAAAAAGACUAAUGGUCACAUGGCGAGAAAGAGACUGCGUGCACAGGAAAUCUCUACUUCGGAUGAAGAACUGAAAAAUGACAGUGGUUUUGCAAUAGUUGACAAUGCAUUAAAAAUAAGGGCUUCUGUGUCGCAAUACAUGAUUGCGCCAGAAAAUAAAUGCCCUAAACCUGCAGCAGCCUAUGUCACUGCCCAGGUAGAUGAAUUGUUAAACAUUAUGCAAAAGAUCGCGCAAGAAAAUGCGAAUCUAAGGGGCAAAUAUGCUCCUCUAGGAGAUAAGCAUGAUGACCGCACGCAACAAAACACCGCUGAUGCCGCUGUAGCUGCGCUGACGCCGGCGAUUAAGAACAUAGCGAGUGAAUUAAAGCGAGACCCUAUCGGCGAUGUUGAUACACCCAUGAAAGGAAUAGUUGCUGAAUUGAAAUGCUAUAUUAGCAAAAUACAGCAAUUCGGAACAAAGAAUGGCAUGAACAGUUCAAGAAAUGGAUAGGUUUCCUGCAACCCCCAAAAGGAUACUACCAAUCAUACAAACGGACGUAAUAACUCAGAAAUCGAAAAAAGAAAUACAGAACAAACAUGGUCGACGUAGUAGCCAGAAGAAAAAAAACAAAAUCACCUGACAAGCCUACUCCUCAGAAAAACACUAAACAAGCCUCAAUGAACAUUGACAAAAUUGUAUAUAUUGAUCCACAAGAAAACAUGGACACAACAAACCUCCUUAUACAGGUCAAACAACUCAUUAACCCAAGACAAAAAAAAAUUAGAGUAGAUAACAUACUAAUAACAGCUAAAGGAGGAAUAGCUAUUAAAACGGAAUCAACUGCUGAUCGACAGGCAAUUUUUACUAAUCAACAGCUACAACAAGCUCGGUUCACGGCAUGCAUAGCCACUAAAUGACACCCUAGUUUGCUAAUCCUCAGAACACCGAAAGAACGCCUACACAAAUUGCAGAACAACUCGUUGCACAUAACAGCGCAGAAGGAAUAUGGAUGCCAAACGCAGUGAGACCUCUUUUCACUGUAAGAUACGGAGCUGGCACAAGACAAGAUUCUCAAUUUGUGCCCUGGGUCGUGGAGGUAGACCCGAAAACUUGGAAAUCCGCCAUCGACAGGGGAAAAGUGUAUUUAGACUACCAGUCAUGUGUAGUGAAAGAAUACUCUGGUGUUACGCGUUGCUACAACUGCCAGUUAGUUAUACGGACACGUUGCAGCCAACUGCCUGAAAAAAGAGCCGACUUGUGGUAUAUGUGCUUCAAAUCAUGACACCAGAAGCUGUGACAGGUCAAAAGUAAAGUGCGCGAACUGCCUGAAUCAAGGUCUCAAUAACAGCAAUCACCAUGCAGGCUCAAAACUGUGCCAAAUUCAUAUGAAGGCUCUCACUAGAGCACGGAACAUAACGGAUUAUGGAGAUGAGACAAACACCACGGACAUAACAAAAAAUACAAUAACGGUACAUCAACCCAGCAAAAUAGUCGAGCAUAAUUUAAUAGAUAUGGACACUGACAACACACAAGAAAACACUGCACCAAACGCACAAUGAUCGAUAUCAACAGGGAACAUAUACGCAGCACAAUUGGCCCAAGUAUAGACCCAAUAAAAUUUCUAAAAAUUGCUCAACUAAAUUGUCACGGCUCAGAAAUUGUCAGUUGCGAGGCGAGAGUCCUAGCUCAAAACCAAGAAAUAAGCAUUCUCUUGGUCCAGGAACCGUGGCGUCAGGGCAUCGACAGAGCCAUGGGCUGUAUAGCAAGGGUGGUCAGAUGGAAGGAUCCUGUCCGAGUUAGGGCAGCGAUUUACAUCACGGACAGAAACAUUAAGAAGCUUGCUGGAAAACAAUCAAGACAUGGCAUGUUGCCUCAUCGAGUGGGCUGGCGAGCAAAUUAUACUCGCAUCUGUCUACUUUGACAGACGCCGAGAUUUUCAGGAGGAUGUGUAAACCUUCUCUUCCUCUUUAAUAAGAAUCUGAUGAUAAGCCGAUUUUAAAUCGAUACUACUAAAAACUUUAUACCGUGCCACAUUAUUGACGAUUUCUUCGAUUCGGGGCAGAGGGUAAGCAUCGAGUUAACCUAUUGAUAGUUUUGGAAUAGUCGACGACCAUACGCUUUUUGCGGUUAUCGGUGCUAACGAGUGCUUGCGCCCGCCACGGAGACACACUUUCCUCUAUGAUGCCUUCCUUUAGGAGUCGAGUUAUUUCUUCACGGAUAAACUUUUUAUCGUGUUCCGAAUAACGCCCGCUACGGGUUUAACAUCGGGUGUCAGAUUGGCGAAUAGUGACACAGGAGUUACUUUCGCGGCCUUUAUACUACAAACAGUGAUUGAUUCUUUAUUCCCGCCAAAGGAAAGGGCUACGCUACGGUGCUGCCUCAUUAUAUCGUGACCAAUGAUUGCAUCUGCACAUAGCUCCUGUAGAACGUUUAGUUUUGCAUGGUAAUAGUGGCUCUGAAAUCUAAGAUUAACCAUACUAAACCAUUUAAUUUCUGAUUUAGCCGAUUUGGUUGCCAGACUUACUUUACUGGUGGCCUUAGUCAUGGGUAAUUUGUGAUAUUUUAAAUAAUCAGCAUUGAUAAAACUUUCAGUGCUGCCAGUGUCCAUUCAUUAAUUUCGACCUUAACAAUAGCUUUCGAAAGAGAAGAUGGGGCGGCCGCUAAAAUAGAUGCGGAAGUUUUUCUUUGAUAUUGAUUUUGUCUCUUAGCAGUUAUGCAGACUUUAGAAAAGUGACCCUUUUUCUUACAGAAGUGGCAAGUAGCCUCCCGAGCUGGACAGAUAUUACGUGAAUGCUUGUGAUUACCACAAAAGAUGCAAGUUGAUGAUACUGUAGCAGCUGUAGGUGAGUCAGUUGGAGUGCCGGAAGUGAUUUCAACUUCUUCAGUUAGUUUACUCAUAGAAUUGACACUUGGGGGCUCUAUACCGGAAAUAAGAUUGCGAUUGUUUUUGAGCCAUGUCGAGGCCCAGUUUGUACCCUCCCACCUGGCCUGAUCGAGAGCAGUUUGUAGAGUAAGUUGAGAGUUUUCUAACAGUCUCAGGGGGAUAUGAUUUGAUUGCAUACCCGAAAUAAAGGCAUCACGAAUAGACUCAUCUCGAUGUUGCUCGGCCGUGACUGAGCAAAAGUUGCAGUCUUUACUGAGUACUUUUAAAGCUUGUAAAAAUUGAUCUAACGACUCACCGGGUAGUUGUCGUCUUGUGGCUAGCUGAUGUCUUGCAAAGACUUCAUUGCUUCUUUUGACAUAUAACGAAUGUAAGGUAAAUAUCGUCUGAUCAUAACUUUUACAUUCUUCGAUAAGUUCGUAUACAUCAGGAGAUAUAAGAUUUAUAAGAUAAUCCAACUUUACUUCUUCAUCUUCGACUUGCGACCUUUUGAUAAAUGAUUUAAAGGUUCUAAACCAGUGAUUCCAGAGUUUAGAGGCGUUAGAAGCGUCUGGUUCUACAUUGAAUCUUUCCGGUUUAAAAGUUUCCAUUUGAUGUUUCGUAGACAUACUUAUGCUAAUUAAAUUGUUAUAAUUGAAAACACCUUAUGAGAAAUUAAGGCUUUAAUUAGCAUAAGAAAUACAUGUAGUAAAGAAAACAACACACUGCCAAAAUGAUCAACAACAUAAAGCAAAUAGACCAUUUUAGUUUAUUUUUAUAUUUCCUUUUCCUUCGUUAACGUCCAUAAUAAUUAACUUCCUUUCCAAUAUUGAAUAAACCCCAAAAAACAAAUCAUACAAAAACAUCAGAAUACAACACACGAAACCAUUAUGUGACCACAAGAAGAGGACCACAGUUUAUGACUCUGGGGUUCUUCAAUCUGUCUUUUCUUCAUUUGUUAUAUUCAAUCGGCUGGUAGCGGUUUAAUAUUUUACAACUUGAUGUUCUUCACAACAGCAUUUAAUAAUGUCGGGGCUUGGCUCACCCACUUCGAUCUUGCACCGAACUUUAGUGGAUUUCUCAUCGGGUUUUCCAAAACGAUCGGCAACAUACCAGUAUUAUUGGGGCGUAUGUUCAUGACCAGUGUGCUGAUGAUUGACGUAAGCCAUUGCGUUUAUUUCCUUCAAUUCUAUAAGUACGACGACAAAUCGAUUUCAGAUGCAGGAGAAAGACUGGUGCUUAUAUUAUUUCUUUGCUGGUGUGUCCCUACUAGUUGGAAAUUUCAUGUAUAUAGUCCUAGCUAAUGACGAGUUGCAGAAAUUUAACAAGAUAAUAAGCCUUGAUAAUGGUGCGUAUACUUACGACCAGUAAUUAACAUACACUCAUUAUCACAAUUAUUUUCUUUAGGGGACGAUUCUACGACGAAGUUAACUUCUACAAACUAAAACAGUGAAA